rnacentral:sRNA from 2 species
ACGCUUCCAGCGCCGUGGGCAGGAGCGGGGGACCCAAGGUAAGCGCCGGGGCCGGGCCGUCGAAGGACGGCCGGGACCGGCUAGGGGUGAAGCCGUGCGCCACCCAGCGCACGGCCGGGCACUCACCAGGCCCGAACCCGACAGCUCACCUCGUAGGCGUCGGUGAGGAGACAC